rnacentral:piRNA from 1 species
UGAGGACAAACACAAUUGAAGGAGAGAAG